rnacentral:rRNA from 1 species
GACGAACGCUGGCGGCGUGCUUAACACAUGCAAGUCGAACGGAAAGGCCCUGCUUUUGUGGGGUGCUCGAGUGGCGAACGGGUGAGUAACAUGUGAGUAACCUGCCCUUGACUUUGGGAUAACUUCAGGAAACUGGGGCUAAUACCGGAUAGGAGCUCCUGCUGCAUGGUGGGGGUUGGAAAGUUUCGGCGGUUGGGGAUGGACUCGCGGCUUAUCAGCUUGUUGGUGGGGUAGUGGCUUACCAAGGCUUUGACGGGUAGCCGGCCUGAGAGGGUGACCGGCCACAUUGGGACUGAGAGACGGCCCAGACUCCUACGGGAGGCAACAGUGGGGAAUAUUGCACAAUGGGCGGAAGCCUGAUGCAGCAACGCCGCGUGCGGGAUGACGGCCUUCGGGUUGUAAACCGCUUUCGCCUGUGACGAAGCGUGAGUGACGGUAAUGGGUAAAGAAGCACCGGCUAACUACGUG